GGUACUAAAUUGAUAAAUUGUAGUGGCAAACCUGAUAACUCAUGUUCUUUACCAAACUGCCCUGGAAUCUCAACCUUGCCUUCAUUCUACAUCGUUCUCUUCUUGGGGUCGCUGAGUGAAGUAGGAAGGAGCUACAAAUAACAACUUAAAAAAUCAUCAUGGACAAAAACUCCAACAAAACUGCCCAUAAGGUCAUUGACCAAUAUGGAAAAGAAAUUGCUGAAAUUCCAGGAGGCAAUGAGGUCAUGGGCUUCAAACCUCAAGGUCCUGAAAAAGCGAGUCUCGCUGCUCAGGCCCAAAGUCAUUUGGGCAAUGUAGACAAAAGCACCAAUUUUGCUGCCAUCCAACGAAACGCAAUGAAAAAAUAGUGAUGAUGCAGCAUCCACCAGUGUUCAGUGAUUUUAUCUUCCUUCAGUAUUCCUUGUUGUUUUAAACGAAACACCAAUUUAACUAGUUUGAUUUUUUCUUUUAAUAUUUGAGUUUCAUGAACACUGCUUUUUAUUCAAUAAAAUGUAAUUUAUCACUUUA